UACGGGGGGGGCAAGCGUUGUUCGGAAUUACUGGGCGUAAAGGGCGCGUAGGCGGCUAACUAAGUCAUACGUGAAAUCCCUCAGCUUAACUGGGGAACUGCGUGUGAUACUGGAUGGCUUGGAUUUGGGAGAGGGAUGCGGAAUUCCAGGUGUAGCGGUGAAAUGCGUAGAUAUCUGGAGGAACACCGGUGGCGAAGGCGGCAUCCUGGACCAAUAUUGACGCUGAGGAGCGAAAGCCAGGGGAGCAAACGGG
rnacentral:rRNA from 1 species